ensembl:lncRNA
GUCCAGCGGCUCCGGCCUUUGCCUAGCUGGGCUACUCCGGGAGCCAUUCGGCACCUCUCUCCUGGCCCCCGCCCCGCCCGCUCUUGGAAGAGAGAGGCGGAGGAAUCUAGAAAUCCUGGGUGAGAAGCAGCAACUCACCACAGAUCUAAGGCCUGUCCUUGCCAGCGAUCAGACCUUCCGACCCCACCAGGGUCAGAGCUGCCUGGGCCUGAGGGGGCCCUGCCCUGAGGAGGACGCCGAGGCUUUGAGCAGGCCCCCGACAGCUGCUCGCGGGAGCCGCCUCCCGACACCCGAGCCCCGCCGGCGCCUCGCGCUCCCGGCUCUUGGCUCCCUCCGCC